rfam:Echinostoma caproni strain Egypt genome assembly, scaffold: ECPE_scaffold0003218
GCACUGCUGACGAGUCCCAAGUAGAACGAAACAGCUGUCUAGUGC